GGGUGCGGGACCUGCUGUUUCCACGCACGGGGCUGGCUCCGGGAUCUCAGCUCAGAGAAGCCUCUGACCGCCUUGCAGGCCACGCCCCGUUAGGGAACCUGUCACGGUCACUGCCAUUCCCCAGGCCUCCUUGAGCGCCCACCGCGGGCCGGGCCUGUCCUGGGCUCCCAGCUCUGCCCUCACGGAGCUGACCGUUUUGUACAAAGCACAGCAACCAUUUACACAGCGCUCACUUCGUGCAGGCCCGUGGGUCCUCACAACCUCCAAAAAGGCGGCCCCGGGGUCGGGGAGACCUUCGGGAACAAGGGACCCUCUCGGACCUGAAGCUCGCUCGCAAGGCGCUGAGUGCAGAGUGAGGCCGGGUGCGGGCUGCGCCUUCUGAGAGGGAGGCAGUCCGCACAGUUCCGAGCAGAGGCGCGUAGGCCUCUGAAGGGUCCCUCGGGCUGCCGUGUGGAGUGUGGACUGCAGGAGGCUGGGGUGCUGAAUCACUUAGGAUGCAUUCAGAGGCGAACAACCCGCUUCCCAGCUAGCAGCAGCUUGCACGAUGCCAUUGUGAUCUCACUGAAUACGAAGCCACCAUCUCUCCUCCCUCCAAAAUCCCCACAUACACUUUCUGCCUUCCUGCCUGUUGCCUCAUGCCCCAGGGUGGCUGUCAUAGCACAGGGCAUCACACCGCUACACCAGCAUCUCAAACGGGAAGGAAGUGGCAGGUGUACAAAGGAUGACCACUUUGUGAAUCAGUUCCAGUUCCUGCGUCCUCCCCUUGUUCCUGCCAGCGGGGGAUGGCAUCACGCAGGCAUGGUGAAUCCUGGCCCUUGGGACUUCCCUGCGCCUUGCACAGAUCGCACAGAUUGUGGUAGAUGGUCCCUUGCAAGUGUCAUCCUGCCUGAUGCAUCACCACCGAGGAAGCGACCGAAGUCAGAGACAGAGGAUGCUGCCACUCCCCAAGAAUGAAGCCGGUAGGGGAUAUUAUUGGACUUCGUAUGUGAUGGCAAUGACUCAACAGAAAGAAAAAUUGCUGAUGCAAGAAAAAGAGUGUCUUGCCUCGUCCAGGCAAGAGGGCAUCAGACUUGGGACAGCUCACUCGAGGCAGGGAAAGAAAAGCGGGUCGCACGAUUGCAGGCACAGGGCUUCAUUCCCAUCACCUAGGCUGCAGUACAGGGGCAUGAUCUCGGCUCACUGCAACCUCCACCUCCUGGACUCAAGCAACCCUCCCAUUCCAGCCUCCCAGGUAGCAAGGACUACAGGCACACACCACCAUGCCAGGCUAAUUUUUGUUUGUUUGUUUUUGUUGAGACGGUGUUUCACCAUGUUGCCCAGGCUGGCCUCGAACUCCUGAGUUCAAGUGAUCUGCCCACCUUGGCCUCUCAAAGUGCUGGGAUUACAGGCACGAGCCACCACACUCAGCCUUCAUCAUCUAAUAAAAUCUAACCAAAUCCUUAUACCUUUAUCC
rnacentral:lncRNA from 1 species